rnacentral:rRNA from 1 species
GACGAACGCUGGCGGCGUGCUUAACACAUGCAAGUCGAACGAAGAGCGAUGGAAGCUUGCUUCUAUCAAUCUUAGUGGCGAACGGGUGAGUAACGCGUAAUCAACCUGCCCUUCAGAGGGGGACAACAGUUGGAAACGACUGCUCAUACCGCAUACGAUCUAACCUCGGCAUCGAGGAUAGAUGAAAGGUGGCCUCUACAUGUAAGCUAUCACUGAAGGAGGGGAUUGCGUCUGAUUAGCUAGGUGGAGGGGUAACGGGCCACCGAGGCGAAGCUCAGUAGCCGGUCUGCGAGGAUGGACUGCCACGUUGGGACUGAGACACGGCCCAGACUCCUACGGGAGGCAGCAGUGGGGAAUCUUCCGCGAUGGACGAAAGUCUGACGGAGCAACGCCGCGUGAGUGAUGACGGCCUUCGGGUUGUAAAGCUCUGUUAAUCGGGACGAAAGGCCUUCUUGCGAAUAGUGAGAAGGAUUGACGGUACCGGAAUAGAAAGCCACGGCUAACUACGUG